rnacentral:rRNA from 1 species
AUUGAACGCUGGCGGCAGGCCUAACACAUGCAAGUCGAACGGUAACAGGAAGAAGCUUGCUUCUUUGCUGACGAGUGGCGGACGGGUGAGUAAUGUCUGGGAAACUGCCUGAUGGAGGGGGAUAACUACUGGAAACGGUAGCUAAUACCGCAUAACGUCGCAAGACCAAAGAGGGGGACCUUCGGGCCUCUUGCCAUCGGAUGUGCCCAGAUGGGAUUAGCUAGUAGGUGGGGUAACGGCUCACCUAGGCGACGAUCCCUAGCUGGUCUGAGAGGAGAACCAGCCCCACUGGAAAUGACACACGGGCCAAGCCCCUACGGGGGGCAGGAGUGGGGAAUAUUGACAAAGGGGGGGAAGCCUGAUGCACCCCUGCCGCGUGGAAGAAGAAGGCCUUCGGGUUGUAAAGUACUUUCAGGGGGGAGGAAGGGAGUAAAUUUAAUACCUUUGCCCAUUGACUUUACCCGCAGAAGAAGCACCGGCUAACUCCGU